UUUAACGGCCGCAGUAUUUUGACUGUGCAAAGGUAGCAUAAUCAUUAGUCUUUUAAUAGGGGGCUGGUAUGAAGGGUUUGACGAGGUGUUUACUGUCUCAUUUAAUUUGUAUUUAGAAUUUAACUUUUCAGUUAAAAGGCUGAAAUUGUAUUGGAAGACGAGAAGACCCUAUAGAGCUUUAUAAUUGAAAUUUUAAUUAUUUUUUGUUUAUUAUUUUUUAUUAUUAUUUUAAUUAUUUUGUUGGGGUGACAAGAAUAUAUAAUUAACUUUUUUAUUUAAUUAACAUUGAUUUAUGAUUAUUAGAUCCAUUAUUAAUGAUUGUUAGAUUAAGUUACCUUAGGGAUAACAGCGUAAUCUUCCUUCAGAGUUCAUAUUUACGGGAAGGCUUGCGACCUCGAUGUUGGAUUAAGAUAAUAAUUAGGUGUAGCCGCUUAGUAUAUAGGUCUGUUCGACCUUUAAAUUCUUACAUGAUCUGA
rnacentral:rRNA from 1 species